AUGGCGGCACGGAGGGGGAGGAAGGAAACCCCCCCAAAAUGGGGAGUGGGGGGGUCGGGGGAGCCCCCAAAGGUGGCACGGCCACCCCACCCCCACCCCGGAGCGGCCCAGGGACACCCGAAUUGGGAAAGGGCACUCAAACUGGGAGAGAGCCACAGCAAACUGGGAGAGAACCCGCAGCAAACUGGGAUGGAAGCCACGGGAAACUGGGAGCAAACUGGGACAGAACCCACAGCAAACAGGGACCAAACUGGGAGGGAAACUACACUGGAACCGGAAAGGAUCCCCCAAACUGGGCAGGGACCUCUCAAACUGGGAAAGGACCCCCCAGACUGGGAAAGGACCCCCCAAACUGGGAAAGGAUCCCCCAAACUGGGAAAGGACCCCCCAAACUGGGAAAGGACCCCCCAAACUGGGCAGCGCCCCCCCAGUUCCUCUCCCCGCGCUCCCCCUGCCGGUCACCGGCGGAACUGCAGCGAGCGGGAGGGGGCGUGGCUUGCGGAGGGCGCGGCCUCCGCCCCUCCCAUUUUCCCGUUGAUUGACAUGUGGGUGGGGCAACGGAGCGGUGUCCCCGUGUCCCCGUGUCCCUACGGGCUCCGUGUCCCUCCCCGUGUCCCUGUGUCCCCCCCGUGUCCCCCCCGUGUCCCCACGGGCUCCGUGUCCCCCCCGUGUCCCCGUGUCCCCACGGGCUCUGUGUCCCCACGGACUCCGUGUCCCCACGGGCUCCGUGUCCCCACGGGCUCCGUGUCCCCUCUGUCUCCUCUGUCCCCGCUAUCCCCGUGUCCCCGCUGUCCCUGUGUCCCCUGUGUCCCCUCUGUCCCCGCUAUCCCCGUGUCCCCGUGUCCCCACGAACUCCGUGUCCCCGCUAUCCCCGUGUCCCCUCUGUCCCCUCUAUCCCCUCUAUCCCCGCUGUCCCCUCUAUCCCCGCUGUCCCCGCUGUCCCCGCUGUCCCCGCUGUCCCCGUGUCCCUGUGUCCCCUCUAUCCCCGCUGUCCCCGCUGUCCCCUCUGUCCCCGCUGUCCCCCGUCCCCGCCCCACCUCGCUGAUCCCUCCCGGUGUCCCCGCACCCAAGAACGGCACCGGGAGCCGCUGGAAGCUGCUUUUAUUGGCCACGUUUGGGGCGGGACGAGCGCGGACGGGGGGCCCGGGGGGCGGCCCCGGGCGGGCACCAACACGGCACAGGGCGACAAUAAUUAUCCUCGUUAUAAUAAUAAUAAAAAAUUAA
rnacentral:lncRNA from 1 species